rnacentral:rRNA from 1 species
CCUACGGGUGGCAGCAGUAGGGAAUUUUGCGCAAUGGGCGAAAGCCUGACGCAGCAACGCCGCGUGAUUGAUUAAGCCCUUCGGGGUGUAAAGAUCUGUCAGUGGGGACGAAACUUGACGGUACCCACAGAGGAAGCACCGGCUAACUCCGUGCCAGCAGCCUCGGUAAUCCGGAGGGUCCAAGCGUUGUCCGGAAUCAUUGGGCGUAAAGGGUUCGUAGGUGGCAUAUUAAGUCUGGUGUUAAAUGCAGAAGCUCAACUUCUGUUCGGGACUGGAUACUGGUAAGCGUGAAGGCGGUAGAGGUAAAGGGAAUUCCUGGGGUAGCGGUGAAAUGCGUAGAUAGCAGGAGGAACAACGGGGGCGUAAGCGCAUUACUGGGCCGUAAUUGACACUGAGGAACGAAAGCCGGGGGAGCAAAUGGGAUUAGAGACCCCAGUAGUC